rnacentral:RNase_P_RNA from 1 species
GCAGUUCCCCGGGCGGUCGUCGGCGACAGCAAUGUCGCGGGAGGAAAGUCCGGACUCCGCAGGGCACCGUAGGAGGUAACACCUCUCCGCCGAAAGGCGCGGAUCAGAGCAACAGAGACGAGCCGGCUUCGGGCCGGGUGAAACGGGCAAUCUCUACGGGGAGCAACAUCAAAUAGGCAGCCGACGGACCGGCCCGGUCCGGCUGCGGGUAGAUGGCUUGAGGCGGCGCGUGAGCGCCGUCCUAGACGAAUGGCCGCCGACGGGGAGUCCGCUUCCCGCCGACAGAAUCCGGCUUACACGGGAACCCACC